GACGAACGCUGGCGGCGCGCCUAACACAUGCAAGUCGAACGAGCGAGAGAGAGCUUGCUUUCUCGAGCGAGUGGCGAACGGGUGAGUAACGCGUGAGGAACCUGCCUCAAAGAGGGGGACAACAGUUGGAAACGACUGCUAAUACCGCAUAAGCCCACGGCUCGGCAUCGAGCAGAGGGAAAAGGAGCAAUCCGCUUUGAGAUGGCCUCGCGUCCGAUUAGCUAGUUGGUGAGGUAAUGGCCCACCAAGGCGACGAUCGGUAGCCGGACUGAGAGGUUGAACGGCCACAUUGGGACUGAGACACGGCCCAGACUCCUACGGGAGGCAGCAGUGGGGAAUAUUGCACAAUGGGGGAAACCCUGAUGCAGCGACGCCGCGUGGAGGAAGAAGGUCUUCGGAUUGUAAACUCCUGUUGUUGGGGAAGAUAAUGACGGUACCCAACAAGGAAGUGACGGCUAACUACGUGCCAGCAGCCGCGGUAAAACGUAGGUCACAAGCGUUGUCCGGAAUUACUGGGUGUAAAGGGAGCGCAGGCGGGAAGACAAGUUGGAAGUGAAAUCUAUGGGCUCAACCCAUAAACUGCUUUCAAAACUGUUUUUCUUGAGUAGUGCAGAGGUAGGCGGAAUUCCCGGUGUAGCGGUGGAAUGCGUAGAUAUCGGGAGGAACACCAGUGGCGAAGGCGGCCUACUGGGCACCAACUGACGCUGAGGCUCGAAAGUGUGGGUAGCAAACAGGAUUAGAUACCCUGGUAGUCCACACCGUAAACGA
rnacentral:rRNA from 1 species